GUCCCUGUUGCGCAAUGGAUAGUUCGUUGGACAUCUAAUCCAAAGGUCGUGGGUUCGAAUUCCAUCUGGGAUG